UUUUUUAAAAUGGGGCAAGGAAUAUGUUGGAAAUGGAAAGAGGAAAAGCUAGCUCUUUAUAUGACAUCUUGGAACUUUUAUUGAAUUUUAUACAGCUUCUAUUUUACUAAAAAGCAUUUUUAAUUUUUUUAUUUUGUUUUUUUUGAGACAGGGUUUCUCUGUGUAGCCCUGGCUGUCCUAGAACUCACUUUGUAGACCAGGCUGGCCUCGAACUCAGAAAUCUGUCUGCCUCUGCCUCCUGAGUGCUGGGAUUAAAGGCGUGCACCACCAUGCCCAGCUAAAAAGCAUAUUUUUGACAUACAAAUUAUAAGCUACUAUGUGAGUUUGGUUAGAUAGGACCUGGACCUGUCCCGGGAUAGAAGUAGUGACUUCAUGGAUCCUAGGAUCCCACUUAGCUUCCUCUCCCAUAGAAUAUUCUGUAUGUAGAGAAGAAUAUAUCUUGAAUGCAGUCAGCCACUGAAUCAUAGCAAAUCUACUUCUUUCUAAGGAUCAUUUUUAAAGAGUGCUAUGUGGGUAGUUUACCCAAUCAAAGCUUCAAAUACUGUGAGACAGCUUUAAUUAAAGAGAGAGGGGAAGAUACUGUGCAUUUCUUUGUGUAGUGAAGUUUAUAAAAGAGAAAUAAAAUGGAAUUUGGAACUUGUCAGUAACCAUGCUGUAUUCUCCUUAUUUAACACUGUGACCGCGCUAGCCUGUUUUAUGCAUGGGAGAGUAUCCGAGUUUAAUUUCUCUUAGUUUGAAGACAAUAUAAAUGCCUUCACAAUGUCACGUCUUCAUACAUUAACACAAAUCAUCUUGAUUUUGACUUUAUUCUUUCAGCCAACAAACCUAUUUGAUGAUAUAUUGAGAACAAGUCAUUAUGUUGUAUUGGAUGAUAGUGUUUGCUAAGGAAACAAAGUAGCAGAAAAUUUAAUGUUUGUCUUGCAAAGUAUUCACUUCUUUAAUACAUUAGCUAAAUACUUAAAAAGUACAGGUGCUGGUAUUUUCUAGUGGCUAUUUAAUUGGCUCAUGUUCAUAAUCUGUUCACAGGCUAAAUUUCAUAGCACUUAAUGCUUCUUCCUCUUGGGUAGGCCACAUCUGAUGAGAAAUGCCCAUUUAUUAAGUUAAUAGGCAUAUAAUUUAAUAUUUACUUUUGAUGUUUUUCACAGUACCUUUGAUUAGUAUAGCAAAUUACUAAAUAGUAUGUCUGUAUCUUUGUCUUCAUCUCUCUAUAUAGAUUUAUUUCCAUCUCUAUAUUUCUAUGUUUCUAAAUCUAUCUAAAUCUCUAUGUCUGUCUGUAUAUCUCUUUCCACAUAUAUCUGUGUAUCUCUCUCUAUGUAUAUAUCUAGUCUUAUCUCCAUAUGUAUAUAUCCAUCUGUAUAUCUACAGCUCUAAUACCUAUAUCUCUAUAUCUAUCUUGAUCUCCAUUUCUAGCUAUCUAUAUCUAUAUUUCUAAAAUAUUUCAAGGCUGGGGGAUGGCAUAAUUGGUAAAGCACUUAGAGGACCUGAGCUUGGAUCUCUAGAACCCACUUAAGUUGGGAUGCCUUGUUUUGUGCCACUAUGAUCCCAGUGAUGGGAAGAUGGGAGGUAGAGACAGCCAGAUCCUUGGAAACCCAGGGGCCAGCUAGCCUGGUUUAAGUGCCAAUAUCCAAGUCAAUAAAAGGCCUGAUUUCAAACAUAAUGUGGAGGGCUCCUGAAAACACCUGAAGUUGUCCUUUGACCAUCGUUUGUGUCAUGUGUAUUUGUACACACGUUAAAUGUGUAUACACAUGCAUGCACAUGUGUGCCUGCAUGGACACAAACCCAGAAUAUUUACAACUUCAUUAUCGAAGGUUGUGUGCAUUUUACAUUUAUUCAUGAAGUAAAGAAGCCGGGUUGGAUGUUUUCCUUAUUCUUGGUGCAGUUAGUGUCUUUGAGCAGGCUCUUCUCUACACAGGUAGCUGAGGAAUAUAGUGUCCCAUUAUUUUGUUGCAGGACUGGAACAGUUUGAAAUCAUUUAGUUUCUCUCCUUCCUUCCUUCCUUCCUUCCUUCCUUCCUUCCUUCCUUCCUUCCUUCUUUCCUUCUUUCCUUCUUUCCUUUCCAUCAGAAAUGCUGCCCCCUCCUGGUCCCCUCUCAGAAUCCCUCCCCCAAUUCCCUCUCCCCUUUUCCUCUGAGAGAAUGCCCCUGCCAGAAUUUCCUGAGACCCUGGCACAUCAGGUCUCUGCAGGAUUAGGCACAUCCUCUCUCACUGAGGCCAGACAAGGCAGGCCUGUUAGGGGAACAGAUUCCACAGUCAGGCUACUACUUUAGGGACAGCCACCACUCUAGUUGUUGGGGGAGCCACAUGGAAACCCAGCUUCACAUCUGCUACAUAUGUACUGGGGGUGGAUGGGGUGGGGGGCUCGGUCUACCCUGUGUAUGCUCUUUGGUUGGUGUCUCAGUCUCUAACUCCCAAGGGUUCAGAUUAGUUGACUCUGUUGGUCUUGUGGAGUUCCUUUACCCUUUAGGAUCGUCAGUCCUUCCUUCAACUCUUCCAUAAGAGUCCCUGACCUCUGUCCAAUGUUUGUCUGUGGGUAUCUGCAUCUGUUUCAGUUAGCUACUGGGUAGAGCCUCUCAGAGAACAGUUUGCUAGGCUUCUGUCUGCAAGCAUAGCAGAGUGUCAUUAAUAGUGUCAGGGGUCUCAAGUUGAACCCAUUAUUGUUUGGUUGUUCCUUUAGUAUCUGCUCCAUCAUUGUCUGUGCAUUUCUUUUAGACAGGACAAAUUUUGGGUCAAAAGUUUUGUGGGUGGGUUGGUGGCCUUAUCCCUCCACUGGGGUACUACCUGCCUACAGGAGGUGGCUUCUUCAGAUUCCAUGUCUCUACUUGUUGAUGACUGCAUCUUGACUAAGGUCACCUUCAAUUAUUCCUGGGAGCCUUCUCCAUCCUAAGCCUCUGAUAUUUCCUAGAGAUCCCCCCAGGUCCCCCAACUCCAGGCACCUGCAGAUUUUCAUUAAUUCUCCUGACUCAUUUAGUCUUAGUAAUUCUUAAAAUUGACUUAUUUUAUGGUAGUGUGUUUUGAAGUAGAUUUGGCUAAGCAUCUGUAAAUAUUUUUAAAUUUUUUCUUUAUAUUUCUUUGUUUAUAACUUUUCUGAAGCCUUAAAUCAAAGGAGUAGAAACUGUAGGAGAAUACUCAGUUUCCUCAAUUUCUUAAGGUCCCAUCCCUAAGGAAGGAUGUUAUCUUUGUGUUUCAUGCUGGAGUGUGAAAUUUGCAUGGAAGUUGACAGGGACAGAAAGUGUAUAGGAAGUGCUGCUGAGAAACUAGUCAGCAUAUAUGUGUUUGAACCCACAAGGAUGGAUUGAAACCAUUUCCAUUCUUGCUGCCUCUGAUCUUGAGGAUAUGCAAAUACUGCAGGAGAAGCUGGUGCCCUUAGUAUGACGCAGGAUUUAGGGGAAGGUAAAGUAACUGAAUUGAAACUUCAGCCUGUGGGUGAAAUGUCUGUUUAGAGAUAUUUGUAGUUAAAAUUUUCUUUUCUUUUUUUUUUUUUUAUGUGCGUGAAGUAGAUCAAUAGUUUUGCUGCCUUUUAAAGUAGAAGGUAACUAUGUUGAGAAUAAGCAACUUAUUUGGGCAGGCCGGCUUUAGAAUUUUGUUGCUUAAGUAGUUUGAACUUAAGCUUUAAUAACUCUCCUCUGUCCUGCUGAGAAGAGGUCCACCUUUAUACAUGGCUGAAACACACGCUGGACGGAGAUGCUAAGCAACACUGCACUGAACGCUUCAGGGAUGCAUUGGGUGGAUCGUCCUUAAUUGUCCAAGAAUCUCUUCUUCUAAAAUGAUUUUUAAUUAUGGGUUUCUGUGUUUGUCUGCUUUUGGGAGGCAAUGAAGGCAGAGUUAUAGGUGGUUGUGAGCUGUCUGAUAUCGGUGCUGAGAACCUAACUUGAAUCUUUUGCAAGAAGAGUACUUUUUCUUAAUUGCUGAGCCAUUUCCCCAGUGUCUCAAAAUGGGUUAACAAUUCAGGUUGGUGU
rnacentral:lncRNA from 1 species